UACAGAAACCUAACUGUAGCAUUAGGGUUGAUAUUCCAGCUUUUUUAUUUUUUUUAAGCUGUUAAGAAAUAUAAGGCAAAAUGCUGAAAUAAAUAAUGCCAGUGAAAAUGUUGAUAGUGGAAUAGUCUACGCUUACGCUUCUAGAUAUAUGCCUUAAAGGAUGCACAGUUGCUUAUAUCUAUUAACACUUAGGCACAGGUAACAGGGCGAGACUGAUUUAGAGGUUUAAAAGAGGCUUCGAUUAUUGUACAGAAUUUUGAAAAAUUAAGAUUUCCUACAAAAUGAUGAUUGGAUGAGUGGAUUCAUGAAAAGCUGAGCAAAAAAAGGAGUUAAGCUUCCUGUGUACAGUGGUGACUUUUGAUUAAAACCGAUCAGAACCGAUUAGGUGUAACUGCUCAGGAGAAUGAUCUCUGCGUUGUGUGGACAGCUCGGUGACGAUACCUCAUGAACGCACAAAGAAAGGUAUUUUAUUUUGUAUUAAGAAGGGGCAGCAUAGAAUUGUAAAUCUGUCACAGUAUCUUAAAAACUGAGGGUGUACCCGUUCUGCUUAGUUACAGAGAAGUUUCUGCUUAGUUCUUCCGGAGAAGAAUUGUGAAGUAGAGAAUGAGAAGGAAGAGACUUGUCAUCAAGCCAAAAAUUAAAAUAAUUGUAUCUGAGAAGGGGUACCGGCCUCAAGAGGUUAAUAGUGGCUGUACAGAACCUUUCAUCAGUAGAGUAGGCUCAGAUCUGGCUACGUUUCUAGAGGUUAGGUGGCUAACGGCUGCUCUGUGGCCUUUGUGAGGUAAGUUGGCACUCUAAGUCCUGUCAUGACUUGCAGAACAAAUAUACUUGCCAAAAAGCACCCUCAGUGAAUCCUGUGUGUACUGAAUUCAGUAACAAAAGUCUAAUUCAGAGCAACAAGGUCAGGACUGCACGUUGUUCUGAAAGGCUUGGCAAAGAGGCACUGAGUUGACCAAGAAAUGGGAUGUGACUCCCUGUCACUCAUGGAGAAGAUAAGUGGUAUGAAGGAAAGUUCGCCUAAGAAGCAUUUGCUUCAGUUCUCAG
rnacentral:lncRNA from 1 species